rnacentral:rRNA from 1 species
CUACGGGAGGCAGCAGUGGGGAAUUGUUCGCAAUGGGCGCAAGCCUGACGACGCAACGCCGCGUGGAGGACGAAGAUCUUCGGAUCGUAAACUCCUGUCGAGCGGGACGAACGGCCCGGGACCUAAUACGUCUCGGGAGUGACGGUACCGCGAGAGGAAGCCCCGGCUAACUCCGUGCCAGCAGCCGCGGUAAUACGGGGGGGGCAAGCGUUGUUCGGAAUUACUGGGCGUAAAGGGCUCGUAGGCGGCCUGCUUAGUCAGACGUGAAAUCCCCCGGCUCAACCUGGGAACUGCGUCUGAUACUGGCAGGCUCGAAUCCGGGAGAGGGAUGCAGAAUUCCAGGUGUAGCGGUGAAAUGCGUAGAUAUCUGGAGGAAUACCGGUGGCGAAGGCGGCAUCCUGGACCGGCAUUGACGCUGAGGAGCGAAAGCCAGGGGAGCAAACGGGAUUAGAUACCCCGGUAGC